AAGCGGCAAAAUUAUGAGAGCAAUUAGAACAACUUAAACUUAGUUUAGAUAACACGGGUCGGUGUUAAUGUGCCGACUGCCGAGUGAGAAUUUCAAAAGAGAAAAAAGUUUUUGAAAUAAUUGUAUGUACUUCUUCUUUAAUCUUAGGUACCCACACUGUCGACUUGGUCAAUAUGUUUUCAAGCAAAGCAACGUACAAUCCCCUGUGUAAGCUAACCAUUGCAUUAAAAACGACAAAAAAAUUAAGAAGCGAGGUGAUUCGGUGUGUUAAUGUUUACUGUACAUCUUGGGCUACCUUUUUUUUUUCUAGUUUUACGAAAGCCUUGGGAAAGAAAUGCCUACGUAAUUAUCGUUGUGUAAAUACAUGUUUCUGGGAACCUAUAUAGUAACAUACAUUGUUAACAUGUCAAGUCAUAUGAAGACAUUUAAAAGGAAUAUGAUGAUUAAUUUUUUCAACGAGAAUUUGCUGAGAAACAAAACGAUAAGAUGACCCCGUGAGAAAACCCACUUCGGUUGCAACCGAAUUCUAAUUCAUUCUAUAAUCAUUAGCACAAUCCUCCCUUGAAACCGACGUAUUCAAGAAUAAUGGCAGCACAUCAGACCUACCGAGUGAAGCCAAUUUUUCGGUAAUGCCAAUUUUAAUUAAUUUUGUUCAUUUGUUAUACUUUAGUGUCAAGAUACUAAAUUUGAUAUGUUUUUUUGUUACUUUUAGUUUCAAGGAAAUAUACAAAUUUCAAUAAAGAAAAUUUGUUCAAUCA